UCUCUCAUUCCCCAACGGAGAGAUCUAGUGCGCCUCUCCCUAACGGGGAAAUCUCGUGCGCCCUAAUUCCCCAACGAAGAAGCCCGACUUUUGCCGCUCCUGCCGUCGCUCUGCUGCCGCCAUGCACUAAUUCCCAACGCGGUCUCUCUCAAGAGAGCGAGCCCAGCGCGGCUUCACAGCCAUCAAGCCCAUCGCCCACUUCUUCACUUGUUGCUCCGCCAAGGAGGUUCUCGCCCCUUGGGUUUUCCCUGACCGGCUUCUUCCCUCCCGCUGAUUAGGUUUUUUGAUUAUUAAUUUUGAUCAGUUGGUGGUAGUGGUGGUGGUGAGAUUGUUGCGCAGGAUAUGUUUCUAUGAAGGCAUCUGGUUCUUUGGAGUCUGGAUAUGGUGUUGAUGAUGCAUUUGUGCUGGCUCAGGAGGUGAAGACGAGGGGGUUUGAUUUGUUGGUGGAGAUUAGCCUGACAUAGGUGUUUCUGAUUUAUGAGAAACAUCCUCUUGCGGCCAUGAAGGAAGAGGGGAAACCAGAUGCCCAGCUCUUCGAUCUCCUAUCAACCCUUCUCCAGCAGGCCCGAUACAGUGUUGAGCUUCAUCUCUCGUUCUUGAGGUUACAAGGAUAGGCUAAUGAUUUUAAAAUACAAUACAGCAGUGUUGUCUAACUCCUUCUACUGCCAAAGCUCACAGGAUUGUACAAUCAAGGUAUGGGAAACAACUCAGGGAAAGUUGAUCUGUGAAUUAAAGGGCAUGGACAUUGGGUUAACUCUCUUGCUUUGAGCACUGAAUAUACUUCGAAUUGGUCCUUUUGAUCACACUAGAAAGGCAUAUUCAUCCCCAGAGGGAAAAAAAGCGGUGGGUAUUGAGUUUUUGUGGUAGCCUUAGAAAGAUACAAUAAAAUGAAAGGAAAUGCUCCAGAAAGGCUGGUUUCAGGUUCUGAUGAUUUCACAAUGAUACUGUGGGAACCUUCUGUAAGCAAGCAUUCAAAAGCCUGAAUAACUGGUCAUCGACAGAGUGACAAUGAAUGCUUUUGUUUGAGAAGUGUAAUGUUCAGAGAAGGAAAUGACUCAGUCAUGGUUAGAUUUUGCAAAGUUUUCCAUUGCAUCAACUUCAGCAUUUGGUUCUUGAGAAAGAAGCAGAGUAAUUUUCAUAUCACCUACAAGGAUGCUGAGUUUGAGAAGGACCCGGGGGAAGCUUUUAAGGUUUUUGACAAAGACCAAAAUGGUUUAAUUUCUGCUGAUGCGGAGAAUUCAUAUUUAAAGAUCGAAAGGGUUGAAGAUUAAGAGGAUACGUGAAGCUUGUGUAAUUAAGUGAAGCUUGUGUAAUUAA